rnacentral:rRNA from 1 species
UGGGGAAUAUUGCACAAUGGGGGAAACCCUGAUGCAGCGACGCCGCGUGAACGAAGAAGGUAUUCGUAUCGUAAAGUUCUGUCCUAUGGGAAGAUAAUGACAGUACCAUAGAAGAAAGCUCCGGCUAAAUACGUGCCAGCAGCCGCGGUAAUACGUAUGGAGCGAGCGUUGUCCGGAAUUAUUGGGCGUAAAGGGUACGCAGGCGGUUUAAUAAGUCGAAUGUUAAAGAUCGGGGCUCAACCCCGCAAAGCAUUGGAAACUGAUAAACUUGAGUAGUGGAGAGGAAAGUGGAAUUCCUAGUGUAGUGGUGAAAUACGUAGAUAUUAGGAGGAGUACCAGUAGCGAAGGCGACUUUCUGGACACAAACUGACGCUGAGGUACGAAAGCGUGGGGAGCAAACAGG